GCCGGUGUAGGUCAAUUGGUAGAGCAACUGACUUGUAAUCAGUAGGUUGGGGGUUCAAGUCCUCUUGCCGGCACCA
rnacentral:tRNA from 1 species